rnacentral:rRNA from 1 species
UACAGAGGGGGCAAGCGUUGUUCGGAAUUACUGGGCGUAAAGGGCGCGUAGGCGGCCUUCUAAGUCAUGCGUGAAAUCCCCGGGCUCAACCCGGGAACUGCGUCCGAGACUGGAAGGCUUGAAUCCGGGAGAGGGAUGUGGAAUUCCAGGUGUAGCGGUGAAAUGCGUAGAUAUCUGGAGGAACAUCGGUGGCGAAGGCGGCAUCCUGGACCGGUAUUGACGCUGAGGCGCGAAAGCGUGGGGAGCAAACAGG